AGCAUUUAUGUGUGGUUUUUGGUGAAUGAAUGAACAAAGACUUAAAGAUAUGUACAAAAAAUCCUCUUUUGCAACUCGGAACUCAUUAGUAAGUAUGAGUUUUGAUAUGUAUCAGAAGGGAUAUG